GACGAACGCUGGCGGCGUGCUUAACACAUGCAAGUCGAACGGAAAGGCCCUGCUUUCGUGGGGUGCUCGAGUGGCGAACGGGUGCGUAACACGUGAGUAACCUGCCCUUGACUUUGGGAUAACUUCAGGAAACUGGGGCUAAUACCGGAUAGGAGCUCCUGCUGCAUGGUGGGCCUUGGAAAGUUUCGGCGGGUGGGGAUGGACGCGCGGCUUAUCAGCUUGUUGGUGGGGUAGUGGCUUACCAAGGCUUUGACGGGUAGCCGGCCUGAGAGGGUGACCGGCCACAUGAGGACUGAGAUACGGCCCAGAGUGCUACGGGAGGCAGGAGAGGGGAAUAUUGCACAAUGGGCGGAAGCCUGAUGCAGCAACGCCGCGUGCGGGAUGACGGCCUUCGGGUAGUAAACCGCAUUCGCCUGUGACGAAGCGUGAGUGACGGUAAUGGGAGAAGAAGCACCGGCUAACUACGUG
rnacentral:rRNA from 1 species